GAUGAACGCUGGCGGCGUGCCUAAUACAUGCCAGUCGAGCGAACAGACGAGGAGCUUGCUCCUCUGACGUUAGCGGCGGACGGGUGAGUAACACGUGGAUAACCUACCUAUAAGACUGGGAUAACUUCGGGAAACCGAAGCUAAUACCGGAUAAUAUAUUGAACCGCAUGGUUCAAUAGUGAAAGACGGUUUUGCUGUCACUUAUAGAUGGAUCCGCGCCGCAUUAGCUAGUUGGUAAGGUAACGGCUUACCAAGGCAACGAUGCGUAGCCGACCUGAGAGGGUGAUCGGCCACACUGGAACUGAGACACGGUCCAGACUCCUACGGGAGGCAGCAGUAGGGAAUCUUCCGCAAUGGGCGAAAGCCUGACGGAGCAACGCCGCGUGAGUGAUGAAGGUCUUCGGAUCGUAAAACUCUGUUAUUAGGGAAGAACAAAUGUGUAAGUAACUAUGCACGUCUUGACGGUACCUAAUCAGAAAGCCACGGCUAACUACGU
rnacentral:rRNA from 1 species